AAAUUAUAGAUGGGAUUAAAGCUUGUGUAUCGUCCAUUAUCAUGUGUAAUCAAUAAACGAUUUAAUAUUCUCUUGAAUGGAAUGACAACUGUAUGGAUUUGGGACUGGCAGAGCUUUGGACUUUCCCUACCCACUACCCCUCAUAAUGUUGAAUGCUUCUAUCACGAUUCAAGUUCAAAACUCUGCCAGAGAAUAGAAACCAGCUGCUGGCUAAUGCCACCCCAUAAGUCCACAGAUUAGAAGUGUUUGGGAGACCUUUUUAAACUGACCAGCACCAGUAAGAAUAUCUUCUUUUUAAUACAAAAACAGGCUUACAUUAAAGGAAAACAGCAGUUUUGUGGUUGGGUGGGUCCUUAAUAGAGGUCUAUAGAUUAACUGUACUAAUUACUGAUUUGGACAUUAAAAUUGCGGAGAUGGGGAGGCAACUUACUAUGUUCACGCUAACUGCAGUUUUCCUUUAAAUAUGGUACAUCACACAACCAUCCUAAAAUGUUAAUUGUAUAGAAAAUGAUUUCUGAAGCCUUUUUACACUUAAUAUCCAAUCAUUGUUAUUUGUUACAUAGGUUCUUUUGAGCCCUCCCUUUGGUACCCUCAAUUUCAGUGCCAUUGUAUCUGGUAGCAUAGAGAAUUGUUUAUCACUAGGACUGUGUAUUCCCUCCCAAUUUCGUGGGUGUGUUACUUGGAAGUUUGGGGAGGAGGGCGGAGGGGGGAGCGGGUGGGAGGUGGGUGGGAAAGCAUGGGUGAUAGUUCCGUGAGUUUGAUAUUGGCUGAGUUUGCAAUGGCAGGUGGAACCUUAACUAUUGAGGGAGUUUGCAGAUACCUCAGGAUUCGUGACAAUGCCUUUAAAGAUCCAGGAGAGAUGUUCAGCUACUAGGAACUGCUAGCAAGCAUAGCGCGAAUGGCUCCGAGCUCAGACACUCUACAGCUGAGAGUAGACACUUGUGGUAUGUGGAGUACAGAUAAGCCAGGGGCAGGCCACGGCACGCUCCAUGAAAGCUAGGAGGGAGUGAAGUUUCAGUGACCAUCGCGAGAAAGGAGGCAGACAAGAGUAAGGCACACCUGACUCUUAGGACUAGCAGUCAGAACCAGGAGAAAAGGUUUUAUUGCUAUGCUGGUAGGUAAGAACAGAUUUUACUUCCAUCCAUAUAGUGUUCUCUAAAAUCCAGUUUUCUGUUAACAUUAAUCCUUCAUAUAUUGAGCCAAAACUAGUCCAGUUAAGCUGAACUUGGUUUUUCUGGAGAUGAAUUUUCUUAAAUUGACACCCUAGAUUUGGUGGCUCCCAAAUGAAGGAAGUAAACACUUUAAUUCUGUGACAAUAUAUUUUUGCCCUUUAAUUUUAUUUCCUACCUUCCUUUGACCCAUUUCCUUAAAACGAUGGCUCAAAGUAAUGUGUUAGAAUCUUCCCAAAAGUCUGGGGGGAGGGAGGGUGGACCCUUUUGGGGAGGGGGAGGUGGGGGGUUUACCCUGAGCUGGGACUUGGUCUCCCAAAAAGCUAGUUCUAAAGGUUGUUUACUUUUCUAGGGAGGAGUCUGCUACUCCAGGCUAAUCAACUCUCUUUAAAAAUAUAAAACAAAACAAACUCAUCUGUCCAAAUUUAUGGCUAAAAGGUAAGCUGUUUACAAACUUAACAGGCGCCAAGAGUGCUUGGUAUUGCCAGAAAUAGACCGUGACGAGCUGUACCUGAGAACAAAACCUUUCAUAGUCUGGUCUAGUAAAAGGCCAUAGCCAGCAAAAAGUGAUUAAAGCAGCUGGGUUCCCAGUCAACAGAACAGUAUAAUUGUAGAAUCUUCCAAGUGCUUAUGCAAAUGCCUCAUAACUUUUUUUUUUUUUUUUGGCAGGAACAUCCUUAUGAGGACAACCUUUAUCUGAGCCACUGCACUUCAUUUUCACUACCAUGUAGUUGUUAGCUGUUCUGCAGCUUGAAUUAAUCAUUCAGUUUUAUGAAUGGACUUUUUAAAUAAAAUUUCUUUUGAUUUCGACUUGGUUCUGUCUUGUUUCGUUCACUUUCAUGAUAUGAUAAAUCAGAAUUUUUAGCAGAGUUGAAGUCUUUCCCCUUUGUUCCUUGCUAAUUCUUACUUGGAUCCUUCUAAAUUUAAAGUAAUGGGGUGCCUGGGUGUUGACUUCAGCUCAGGCCAUGAUCUCACAGUUCGUGAGUUCAAGCUGGGCUCUGUACUGACAGCCUUGGAGCCUGCUUCAGAUUCUGUGUCUCCCUGUCUGCCCCUCCCUUGCUUAUG
rnacentral:lncRNA from 1 species